GGGGUUGUGGCUCAAGCGGUAGCGCGCUCGCCUGGCAUGCGUGGGACCCAGGUUCGAUCCUCAGCCCCA
rnacentral:tRNA from 1 species